CUUGAUGGACGCAAGUCUCUUUUCAGCUAUGUAACUAUAAGUCAAAAGGCAUAUAAUCUAAUAGUUGCAAAGGCUGAAAAAAGAUUUGUGUCUAUCAAG